rnacentral:misc_RNA from 1 species
AACGGUCUAUACCUGCGGUACCUGCGGAAGGAUCAUUACAGAGUUGCAAAACUCCCAAACCAUUGUGAACGUUACCUUCUCGUUGCUUCGGCGGGCGGCCCGGGUCCUUCCCGGCGCCCCCCGGCCCCUCGCGGGCGCCCGCCGGAGGUAAACCAAACUCUUGAAUUGUAUGGCCUCUCUGAGUCUUCUGUACUGAAUAAGUCAAAACUUUCAGCAAUGGAUCUCUAGAUCGGAAGAGCA